rnacentral:lncRNA from 1 species
CAGCACUCUGUACCCAGAACAGUUUAUUUCAAACACCAUCCCUGUGCCAUGGGGCUGUUGUCCGGCCUCGGGGCCACGCUGUGCCACAGAACACAGCGCUGGGCUGCGGGGUGGGCAUCCUGCACCCCAACCAGUGCAGAACCGGGCACAGCACCAUGAGCCCCCCCGGAGCACCGCAGCCCCCGGCCACGAUCAGCAGGGCAGCACCUUCCUCACCAGCUCGAUCUCUGCCUGCAGGGAGAUGCCGUGAGCAAUGGGGGGCAAUGGGACCGCGCGCGGGGCAGCCCCUCGCCGGGACUCACCUGCAGAGCCUGGCGCUUGGCCCGCUCCUGCCCCAGCUCCAGCCUCACGUCCUCCAGGUCCCGCCUGCAACGUGCCGGGGACUCAGCCCCGGUGAUGCUGAACCACCGGGGAUCCCACCCCCCCAAGCCCCGACACCCCCAGACCCACUCACAGGUGCUGCACCCGCAUCAGGUCCACCAGGAGGUGCAGGGACCGGACCUCUGCCUUCAGGUGCUCCAGGGCCAGCGUCUCCUUUGGACACGGCGCCACCAGCACCUCCGUGCUCCACGGUGGGGCCGGCGCCUGCCCCGCGCUGGUGUGGGGCGUCCCCCGUGGCUGGUCCCCACUGCAGGGACCCCCCGCGCCCCCCGGGGUGAGGCUGGGCGGCCGCUGGCCUGGUACCCGGGGACGUGUGGCCGUGGGGUGGCUCAGCCGGGCCGUGGUGACCGGCACCACAUUGAAGCCAUCAGCAUCUGCGAAAAAGGUGCCAAAGAGAUGCCAAAGAGGUGCCAAAGAGGUGCCAAAGAGGAGCCAAAGAGGUGCCAAAGAGGAGCCGAAGAGGUGCCAAAGAGAUGCCGAAGAGGAGCCAAAGAGGUGCCAAAGAGAUGCCGAAGAGGUGCCAAAGAGGUGCCAAAGAGAUGCCGAAGAGGUGCCAAAGAGGUGCCAAAGAGAUGCCGAAGAGGAGCCAAAGAGGAGCCAAAGAGGAGCCAAAGAGGUGCCAAAGAGGUGCCAAAGAGAUGCCGAAGAGGUGCCAAAGAGGAGCCAAAGAGGUGCCAAAGAGGAGCCGAAGAGGUGCCAAAGAGAUGCCAAAGAGAUGCUGAAGAGGAGCCAAAGAGGUGCCAAAGAGAUGCCAAAGAGAUGCCGAAGAGGUGCCAAAGAGAUGCCGAAGAGGAGCCAAAGAGGUGCCAAAGAGAUGCCAAAGAGGAACCGAAGAGGUGCCAAAGAGAUGCCAAAGAGAUGCCGAAGAGGAGCCAAAGAGGUGCCAAAGAGAUGCCGAAGAGGUGCCAAAGAGAUGCCGAAGAGGAGCCAAAGAGGUGCCAAAGAGAUGCCGAAGAGGUGCCAAAGAGAUGCCGAAGAGGUGCCAAAGAGAUGCCGAAGAGGAGCCAAAGAGGUGCCAAAG